rnacentral:misc_RNA from 1 species
GAAAUGCGAAAAGUAAUGUGAAUUGCAGAAUUCAGUGAAUCAUCGAAUCUUUGAACGCAUAUUGCGCUCUCUGGCAUUCCGGAGAGCAUGUCUGUUUGAGCAUCAUUAAACAAAAUCAAGCAAAACUUUUGUUAGCUUGGAGAUGAGUUUUCUCGGCAAACCAAGCGUUAACCGAGUGACUUGAAAUGAAUUGAAGGCAGGCGUGUUUAGCUUACGGUGUGAUAUUUUAUCCUUACGGGUAAUCCUUCGCCUCAUACUUUACACGACUUGUCGUCUAGCAGGAACCGCAAUUGCGCGAAAAUCGCGUGACUUGUGUACUUGAUCUCAAAUCAGAUAGGAUUACCCGCUGAACUUAA